GCCUGGAGCCUGAAGCCUGGGCUGGGAGAGGUUUUGGCUGGCUGCAGUGUGGGGCACAGAUGAUGGGGUGGCCACUGUCCUUUGUGGCCCUGUAAGGCUUGUCUGUUCACAUCCAGCAUGAGCUCUCACUGAGGAGUAGAAAGCACAUGGAGGAACUGGGAGAGAAGGUUUGUAGAGUCGCUGAGACUCAAAUUAAGAAGCCUGAAAGAAAUGUGGAAGCUUGGGAUAUGUAGACCACUCCUCCCAGUUCAAUGUCCCUGCCUCCAUGGAAUGAGUGAGGAGCAGGGCGGAACCACAGACCUAGAAGAACAGGUGCUGAGCAGCGCAGAGCAGGCCCUGGGAAAUGAAGACUGAGAGGAGACACCUGAAGAACUGAGAUUGCUGCAGCAGAUUUGUGAGCAGUGGCAGCUUGGUACAAGACAAAGACUGGCUCUGUUUGUGACUGCUGCUCCCUUGAUGAAUGAAUUUGGGUAACUCAGCUUGGCACUUCCAAUUUUUUUCCUUGCUUUUCCUGCUCUGGCUAUUGAAGUAUUGGAGGAAAGUAAAAUUGAUAUUCUCCUUCAAAGAUGGCCUCACCUGGUGCGUGAAAUGAUCUUAGAUGCUUUCUGCAUCUUAAAAUGUGUAAGCUGUCUUGAAUUCUUCAGGAAGAAACACCUUCUCCAAAGGCAAGGUUAUGUUUUCAAGGUGGUUGCUGAGAUUUACAGACAUGGAACAUAUCUGCAAACUCUACAUCAUCUUCACACUCUUCUGGUGCGUUACUGCUGCUUUUUAUAUUUUGCUGUUUGAUUGAUCUGUAAGAAGGAAAAAAAUUCAAGGAUUGAG
rnacentral:lncRNA from 1 species